rnacentral:lncRNA from 1 species
GACAACGCUAUUUAUUAACAAAUAAUAACAGCGCUAAAGAGCUUUGACUUCACUCAAAAACAUAAUAGAACACACUUCAUAAGACAAUACACAAUUCUACAAUAUGCAAGGAGGGUAUAAUACAAAGUACAUACUCUUUUUUCAGUUUUCAUUGCUUCUUUUUCUAAUCUAAUAACUAUUCUAGAUAUAUUAUAUGCUUAACUUUUUACCUGAUCCCAAAUUUAUGUCAUUUAGUUCAAAAUGUAUUAUAAUGUUAUGUAAUGUACACAAGACAUAGGUCUACCAGAUAUCAAUAUAAAAUUGUAUCUAAUAUAUUUGAUGAAAUACAUAGAUUCAGCAUUUACCAGUUAUACUAGUUAUGCUGCUACAUAAAUUAUAUUUAUUACAUCAUUUUUCAAGACUGAUUUCACUUCUCCUUUACUCAAUUAUCGAUUUUUUUAAAAAUAUUUUAGAACCAGAUGCUCCGCAGGGCUCAGCUUUAUACGACCGCAGAGGUUGAACCCUAAACGGUUGGGGCAAGUAUGGGCACAACAUUCAAGCUGGAUUCAGCUCUAAAUUUGGAUUGUGAUUAAAUAGUUGACACAGCAUAGGUUUCUGACACAGAAUGAAUGUGGUCUAAUGAACUUAAAAUAUUUUUUUGCCUUUGAGCAAUUCACUAUGUUGUUAAAUAUUAAUCCUCUCAAAAAAAUGUUUGAAGAAAUUUUCUUUUUAUUUAUGAAAUCUGAAAUGAGAAAAAUUUACCCCCCCCCCCCCUUUUUUUUUACAUCCUUUCCCUUUUUCCAAAAAUGAUCUCAAUUCAAAUUUCUAAUGGAGUUUGCAACAAUAACUAAUCAUUUAAAUACAUCACAAAAUAUUAAAAUGUAAAAUAAAGUGCUUGUUA